rnacentral:tRNA from 1 species
GGCUGUGGCAUAGUGGUUUGAGGAUUGGACUAUGACUCUGGAGACCAGGGUUCGACUCCCAGCUCAGCCA